AUGCAGGAGGGACUGGGCGGACCUGACCGCCAGGCCGGCGGGCCUGGUCGCCGAGCGUGUCCUAGCGGACAAUAUCGUCGACUACCUCCGCUUCCGCGCGGUGUGCAAGUCAUGGCGGCGAUGCAGCGCCUCCCAGCACGCGCAUGGCGGCCUGGACCGCCGGUUCCAUCCCUGGAGGUGGAUCAUGCUCCCGCGGACCUCCGGCGGCGCCGCGACCUCCUCAACGUCUCGACCGGGAAGCGCAUCCAGGUGGACCUACCGGAGCUCCGCUGCCAGUACGUGUUCGGGGGCACCUCCGAGGGCCUUCUCGUGCUGUGCCACAAGCGCACCUACAUCGUCCGCCUCCUCAACCCGCUCACCCGGCAGCUCGUCGUCUUCCCGAACGCGACCACGCUGCUGUACAACCCUAACACCCAGUGGGCCAGGAACAGCGCUCCACCUCGGCCCGGCUCGCUGUUCACCGCCAAGCCCGGUGAUGAGCGAUGGACGUCGUUGCCCAUCGAUCACCGCAACAACAACGCGAUCAUUGCGACAUUGUCGUUCGACGGCUGCUUCUACUGCGCCACCGAGAAGGCCCUCAUGGUGGUGGACGCCACCGCAGACCAGCCGCCGCGGUUGGUGGUGGUGGCGGCCUGGCUAAGCAGCUGGGAUUUUAAGCGGUACGAUUGGACCGUGAACCUAGUGGACAACAACGGGGAACUCGUUCUGGUGCACGGGGCCGGGCGUGGAGGUUACGAGGUGCACCAGGUGGAUCCGGAGGCGGGAAUCACCCUGCCUAUGCAGGGACUCGGUGGGUGCGCCUUGUUCGUCAGAAUGUGUUGGCGAGGGGACAAAAAGGGUCCAUGUGGCACGUUCAUGCAUGACGAGAAAGAACUCCACUGCCAGUACGUGUUCGGGGCCACCUCCGAGGGCCUUCUCGUGUUGUGCCACAAGCGCACCUACGCCGUCCGACUCCUCAACCCGCUCACCCGGCAGCCCGUCGUCCUCCCGGACGCGACCACACUGCUGUACAACCCUAACACCCACUGGGCCAGGAACAGGUCUUCCCUCAACCUCAAGUACAUGCGCGUGUCCGGCGCCGGUCUCGCCGGCGGCUCAACCAUAGCGCUCCACCUCGGCCCAUGCUCGCUGUUCACCGCCAAGCCCGGCGAUGAGCAGUGGACGCCGUUGGCCAUCGAUCACCGCAACAACAAGGCGAUCAUUGCGACAUUGUCGUUUGACGGCCGCUUCUACUACGCCACCGAGAAGGCCCUCGUGGUGGUGGACGCCACCGCAGACCAGCCGCCGCGGCUGGUGGUGGUGGCGGCCUGGCUAAGCAGCUGGGAUUUUAAGCAGUACGAUUGGAGCGUGAACCUAGUGGACAACAGCGGGGAGCUCAUUAUGGUGCACAGGGCCAGGCAUGGAGGUUACGAGGUGCACCAGCUCCGCUGCCAGUACGUGUUCGGGGCCACCUCCGAGGGCCUUCUCGUGCUGUGCCACAAGCGCACCUACGCCGUCCGACUCCUCAACCCGCUCACCCGGCAGCCCGUCGUCCUCCCGGACGCGACCACGCUGUUGUACAACCCUAACACCCAGUGGGCCAGGAACAGGUGUUCCCUCAACCUCAAGUACCUGCGCGUGUCCGGCGCCGGUCUCGCCGGCGGCUCAACUGUAGCGCUCCACCUCGGCCCGUGCUUGCUGUUCACCGCCAAGCCCGGCGAUGAGCGGUGGACGCCGUUGGCCAUCGAUCACCGCAACAACAACGCGAUCAUUGCGACAUUGUCAUUCGACGGCCGCUUCUACUGCGCCAUCGAGAAGGCCCUCAUGGUGGUGGACGCCACCGCAGACCAGCCGCCGCGGCUGGUGGUGGUGGCGGCCUGGCUAAGCAGCUGGGAUUUUAAGCAGUACGAUUGGACCGUGAACCUAGUGGACAACGGCGGGGAGCUUGUUCUGGUGCAUGGGGCCGGGCAUGGAGGUUACGAGGUGCAUCAGGUGGAUCCGGAGGCGGGAAUCACCCUGCCUAUGCAGGGACUCGGUGGGCAUGCCUUGUUCGUCGGAAUGCGUCUCCCAGGGCAAAAAAGAGGGCUCGCACUGUUGGUGCAUGCGGGGCCGUUCCCUUACGUGAGUGCUGACACCAUCUACUCGUGCAUGGAUUAUGGUCGCAAGUAUGAGCCACCGAGAAUUCAGGCCUACCAUCUCCAUGGGUAUGGCCACAUCCAAGGCAUUAUUGAUGGUGCCGGGCGAUGCAGUGCCAUUGAAGACUAUGUGUCUCGCUACGUCUGCGGCCGAAAGAUCGUCAGGAAUCAAUCAAGGAAAUCACUUUCCAACUUGGUAUCAGUUGCCAGGACCCUCGCCAUGGCCGCGGACGACACCUCCUCCUCCGCCGCCGCCAUGAGCUCGGCCACGUCGCCGGGCACCCUCUCCUCCUCCUCCUCGGUACCUGUCGCCGGCACCUCCCCGGCCACCGCCCCGACCACCCCUCCCUUCAUCUUCGGCAUGUCCCCCACCCUCUUCAGCGGCUCCUUCCCCGCCACGGCCUCUCAAUUUGCCCCUCUCUUCACCACCGCCGGCCCCUCCCUUGCGCCCUCGCCGGCCACCGGCUCUCCCCGCCCCAUUUUUCGUGAUCACAUCACGAACCACAUCAAGUUCCUCCUCAAUCCUGCCGAUCACAAUUAUCAUAAGUGGAAGACUUUCUUCUUGAUGGUCCUAGUUCGCUACGGUGUCUCCUACCUCCUCGACCACCCUCCACCUCCCAAUGCUCUGUCCCACUACCUUGAGCUCGACGCCCAUGUCGUUCUGUGGAUCUAUGCUACUCUCUCGGACACCAUGUGUGACCACGUUGUUGGCGCCACCACCACCUACGCCCUCUGGCACAAGAUCAACGAUUUCUUCCUCGCCAAUCGCGACGCCCGCUUCAUGAUCCUCAACCGCCAAUACCGCAACCUCAAGCAGGGUGAUCUCUCGUUUCUUCACGGCGUCGACAAGCGGCUCGACACCAUCCGUGUCGUCCUCGGUGACCAGGGCCUCCCCUUCGACACCGUCCUCUCCCGUGUUGUCCUUGCGGAGGAGUCGCAGGCACAGCGCGCGGCGGAGGAAGGCGCCUCCGCGCUCACCAUGGCGGGUGGCAGCUCUUCGGGCAGCGGUUCCUCGGCCGGCUCCUCUGGUGGUCGCGGCCAGGGUGAUCGCGCGGCCGACCGCUCCUAUGAUCGCGCCCCCGAUGCUCCCCAUCCGCCGUCCCACUCAUCUGGUCGCGGGCGUGGUGACCGCUCUGGUGACAGCGGUGACCGCGGCCACGGGCACGGGAGCGGUCGUGGCCGGGGGCGCGGCGACCACUCCGGGCGUUGUCAGCAGGCGCCUUCGUUCUCUCCUUUCACGGGGUACUUUGCCCCGUACGAGAUGGCUCUCCCGACGCCCCGCCCUGGCUGGAUCCCGCCGAACGCCGCCGUGCCAUCCACUCCAUACUAUCAUCCCCCACAACCCUCGUGGGACCACCUCGCCAUGCUCAACGCCGCCUUCAGCAAUGGCGGCUACGCCACGCCCCCGACUCCCGAGUGGUAUCUCGACAGUGGCGCUUCCUCGCACGUGACGGGCACCCAAGGAAAUCACUUUCCAACUGACGUCAACGCCCGGCACUGCGCCUGCGUCGCGGUGGCCGUCGCCGGCUAUGAACAUCCGUGCAAUAUGGGUUGCCAAAAGUGA
rnacentral:rRNA from 1 species